UCUAAAAUAUGUGCUAUAUAGUUUUCGUUCAAAAUUUCAAUCUGCAAAAAUCUUCAACAUAACAAUUAUAUGCAACGUUUUUCACUUUAUAUUAUAGAGUUUAAUGAUUUGCUAGUUCAAUCACACUGUUAAAAAGCUUCACAAGUUUCCUACAAUAUUGGUCUUGCUAAGGUAUAGUACAUGCUCAAUUAAUAUAUAUAUAUAUAUGUACUAUUUAC